CUUGUGUCAUGCACAAAGUAGAUGUCCUAACCGACUUGCCAAAACUAUAGUUUGUUAACAAGACAUUGGUGGAGUGGUUGAAAAACGAGUUUUAAUGACUCCAACCUAAGUGUAUGUAAACUUCCCACUUCAACUGUAUAUUCUCAGCCUAGCAGUCAUUUUCCCUUAUAUCACCCCCAGCCAGCUCCAUGGCUAUAUCUGGUUCUGCUACUUUUUCUUGUCAAUCAUCCAAAAUGGCCAGAGUGGUGCACCUCGUCCAGAAGCCCUUCUUGUGGUGUUCUAUUAGAAAUAUAAGUGUUUUCCUCAUUCACAGCCUGGUUCUGAGGAGCUGGGGCUGGGGCCAUGUGUGAGAGAUGGGGUUUUAUCGUGUGUUACAGUAGAGAUGGGAUGUGGGAUAUGAUGGGGCGUAUAGGCUUAUGUUGAAGAGACUGAUGAUUAGGUUCUCUCUCUUGGGCAGAAAAUGAGAGCAGUCCUGAAUGAGAGUGGGGCAAAGUUCAGCCGGAUGCAGGAGCAGGGGAGGUGGCUGAAGGAGGCGGGUUGCCAAGGGGUGGGUGUGUUUGGGUGUGGCCUGGAGGCUCGCUGGACCACCUUUCACUUGAGGCUGGAGCAACAACGAGUCAGCACAGAUAGGAACAGGAAACUGUGGAGCAGGUUUUCCCGUGACUUUGUGGCACUGAGCAAAUGGAUCGUUGGGGCCAGGGAACACAUCAACAGUUGGAUCAUUUUCACUCUCACAGCCAAUCAGGAGCGAGAGCUGAAACCCAUUCACUCCCACCUUAACCAGUAUAUGGUAAACCCAGAAUCUUAUAUGGACAGUUUUUUUUCCAGUCAAGUCAACGCCUGUGAGAACAUGUUGUGGUGAAUGACCCUCUGGUGAAUAUGACCAUGUCAUGUUUGUAGGACUUCACCAAAGAGCUGGAAGUUAGGUCGGCUCUGAAGGCCUCAGUGAUCACCACUGGAACACAGCUACUGCAGCUGAGAGAGGCAGCGACAGCGCCAGAGCCCCAGUCUGCUGCCCCAGAGCUUUGCUCUGUACAGACCCAGCUCAGACAGAUAGAGCAGGACUGGGCUGGCAUUCUGUCUGAUAUACCUGCUGUCCAGCAGACUCUGCAUCAGGUGAGUGGGUCAUACACUGAGUGUACAAAACAUUAGGAACACCUGCUCUUUCCAUGACAUAGACUAUCCAGGUGAAAGCAAUUAUCCCUUAUUGAUGUCACUUGUUAAAUUCAUUUCAAUCAAUGUAGAUAAAGGGGAGGAGACAGGUUAAAGAAUGAUUUUUAAGCCUUGAGACAAUUGAGACAUGGAUUGUGUAUGUUUGCCAUUCAGAGGGUGAAUGGGCAAGACAAAAUAUUUAAGUGUCUUUGAACAGUGUAUGGUAGUAGGUGCCAUGCACACCGGUUUGAGUCUGUCAAGAACUGCAAUGCUGCUGACUGUCUCCUCUCCCUCCUCUUCUUCCGUCUGUCAGUUGUUGAUGGAGAGGCUGUCCCCACAGGGGGCCUUGACUGAGCUGCUAGCCUGGGUUGGAGAGACUGAGGCCAGGCUAGAAGAGCAGAGGGAUAGGGUCCAAAAAACCACCUCCACCAAUGCGGACCUCAACCUAGUCCUUCAGAGCUUCAAGGUAGCAACUGACAGAUUCAGUUUGUCCUCUCUUAUUCAAUACCUGGUAAGGUAAAAGUAUUUAUAUUUGCAUAAACAAAUUGGUUGAUUCCCGACGUCUCUCUCUCUCCUACAGGUGUGUAAGGCUGAGAUAGCAGUCCGCCAGCUCACAGUAGACUAUGUCAACCAGUCGGAGUUACAGACGAGCAGAGGGCGAUAUGAACACCAAGAUUAUGCUGAUGAGCUGGGCGGUCUUAACCAUCGCUGGCUCAGUCUACAGGGCACCAUCAACAACCAGGUGAGAACUCAAUCGGGAAAAGAGAAAAUAGCUUACAGAACCUCAACCUAUGGAUAGUCUUUAAUAUAAAAUAUCAACGUGAUGCUCAACCCCUUCGAUUUUUAAAGCCUUUUUGUAACAAAUCCUAGGCUAUUUUAAGAGAAUCAAUCCAUCCUAUUGAUGAUUUGAUCCUAUAGCUAUUGGUAAUUUUUAGUGACACCUCCUGUUUUAUAGCACCAAUCAUUCCCACUGAUUAUGAUUUGAUCCCAUAUCUAUUGACUUUCCCUCUGCAGAUCCAGGAUGUUGAACAGGAGCUGAUGAUGUGCACAGAGAGAGAGGUCAGACUGCAGCACCACCACACCUGGCUCACCAGUCAGAGAGAGUGGAUGGGCUCAGCCCAGAGGCCUGUCAGUCACUCUGAGGUGGAGAAGAGCUUAAAAACCUGUGAGGUGUGUUGAAAAACAGAACCUGGUGUACAGUACCACAGGUGUCAAGUCAUUUGCCCUCUAGUUAUUUCUAUGAUGACGGGGCUAUGUGCAAUAUUUUGUUUUCACCAGGUGUUUAUGUUUUUUAGAACCACAAUAUUAUCAGAUCCAAAGGCAAUUUAUUAGAAAUGAUGUGCAAUGAUUUUG
rnacentral:lncRNA from 1 species